rnacentral:rRNA from 1 species
GACGAACGCUGGCGGCAAGCUUAACACAUGCAAGUCGAACGCCGUAGCAAUACGGAGUGGCAGACGGGUGAGUAACACGUGGGAACGUGCCUUUCGGUUCGGAACAACUGAGGGAAACUUCAGCUAAAACCGGAUACGCCCUUCGGGGGAAAGGUUACGCCGAAAGAUCGGCCCGCGUCAGAUUAGGUAGUGGACGGGGUAAUGGCCCACCAAGCCGAUGAUCUGUAGCUGUUCUGAGAGGAAGAACAGCCACACUGGGACUGAGACACGGCCCAGACUCCUACGGGAGGCAGCAGUGGGGAAUAUUGGACAAUGGGCGCAAGCCUGAUCCAGCUAUGCCGCGUGGAUGAAGAAGGCCUUCGGGUUGUAAAGUCCUUUCGGCGGGGAAGAUAAUGACGGUACCCGCAGAAGAAGCCCCGGCUAAUUUCGUGCCAGCCGCCGCAGUAACAC